rnacentral:lncRNA from 1 species
CUUAUGCCUUAAACGAUAAUUGAGCUAUGAGAUAAGGCGCUAAAAUCAUAUUGUUUGAACCUUGGGAAUGUGUUUUAAUUACUGUUUAAAUUGGACCUUGUCACGUUUGACGUUAAUCUAUCUCUCCCCUUUUAGUAUAUGUAAUUUAUAGGAAUUUGUACAAAUCGGUUUUGUAAUUCUUAUUGCUUUUUAAUCUCUAUUCGUUAGUUGAUUCUCUCUAGUGCUAGACUAGAGUUUCUUUAACUAUUGGUAAGGAGACAUAACUAAAAGAGGGUUUUGACAUGAGAU